rnacentral:misc_RNA from 1 species
UUAUUUUAUGACCCAUUUUAAAACAGAAUACAAACGGAUUAGAUGAUGAAAAAAAGCGACCCACCUGAAAUCAAAAAAUUAUGGAAUAUUGAUUUCAUAGACACACAUCUAGGUAGGUGCAAAUAAGAAAUUAAUUCAAUUAACCCCAAAGCAUGCUUUUGUUGAUUACUAAGAAGCUCAAGAGACAAGCUUUUAGUUUUUUUAAGUUAAAGCUUAAAAUGAUGAAAACUGAAAAAGGGUGUGGUGAUUUUGGAGAAGAAAUUAUAUAGUCAAGUUCUGAAUUUCAUACAUAAAAUUUGGGGUUACAUAUGAAUUGUAUUUGAUUGUUUAGAUUCAUUGAUGGAAUUUAAAUUAAAUGAUAGGAUACAUUUGUGAAAUUCUUCUUAAAUUUAGAUGAUAACUUGUUCACUGUGAAU